rnacentral:ncRNA from 1 species
UUUAUUAAGAAAAAUUGAGAAGCUCAACACGAGAGHGGAAAAAGAAAUAAUAGUAACUUGGUCCCGGGCAUCUACCAUUAUACCCACAAUGAUCGGCCACACUAUGGGAGCUGGCCAUGCCCGAAGUCGUUACCUUAACCGCAAGGAGGGGGAUGCCGAAGGCAGGGCUAGUGACUGGAGUGAAGUUGUAACAAGGUAGCCGUACUGGAAGGUGCGGCUGGAUCACCUCCUUU